GGAGGAGUGGCAGAGUGGUCGAAUGCGGCGGUCUUGAAAACCGUUGUGCCUUUGCGGGUACCGUGGGUUCGAAUCCUACCUCCUCCG
rnacentral:tRNA from 1 species